rnacentral:tRNA from 1 species
GGGCGAGUAGCUCAGUGGGAGAGCGCAUGCAUCACAAGCAUGAGGUCGGAGGUUCGAUCCCUCCCUCGCCCA